UACGUAGGGGGCAAGCGUUGUCCGGAAUCAUUGGGCGUAAAGAGCGUGUAGGCGGCCAGAAAAGUCCGCUGUGAAAACUCGAGGCUCAACUUCGAGCUGUCGGUGGAAACUUUCUGGCUAGAGUCCGGAAGAGGAGAAUGGAAUUCCUGGUGUAGCGGUGAAAUGCGCAGAUAUCAGGAGGAACACCGGUGGCGAAGGCGGAUCUCUGGGCCUUACCUGACGCUGAGGCGCGAAAGCUAGGGGAGCGAACAGG
rnacentral:rRNA from 1 species